GAUGAACGCUAGCGGCAGGCUUAACACAUGCAAGUCGUGGGGCAGCAUAAGGGUAGCAAUACUCUGGUGGCGACCGGCAAACGGGUGCGGAACACGUACGCAACCUUCCUCAAAGCGGGGGAUAGCCUCUCGAAAGAGAGAUUAAUACCCCAUAGUAUCUUGAAACUGCAUGGUUUUAAGAUUAAAGCUCCGGCACUUUGAGAUGGGCGUGCGGCUGAUUAGGUAGUUGGUAGGGUAACGGCCUACCAAGCCAACGAUCAGUAGCUGAUGUGAGAGCAUGAUCAGCCACACGGGCACUGAGACACGGGCCCGA
rnacentral:rRNA from 1 species